rnacentral:rRNA from 1 species
GCAUCUUUGGGGGGAAGCGCCGGCCCAUGUUCCUUGGAACAGGACGUCGCAAAGGGUGAGAAUCCCGUGCCAGGCCGGCUGACUCCUCCCGAGUGAAGGGCCUUCCACGAGUCGAGUUGUUUGGGAAUGCAGCUCCAAGUGGGUGGUAAAUUUCAUCUAAAGCUAAAUACCGGCGGGAGACCGAUAGCGCACAAGUAGAGUGAUCGAAAGAUGAAAAGCACUUUGAAAAUAGAGUCAAAAAGUACGUGAAAUUGUUGAAAGGGAAGCGCUUGAGACCAGACUCGGACCUGAGCAAACACCGCGCCCCUCGGGGCCGUGCAAUUGCCCGGGGCUGGGCCAGCAUCAGUUGGCGUGGCGGGAAAAGGCGCGGGCAAUGUGGCUCCCCUCGGGGAGUGUUAUUAGGCCCGCGCUGAAUGCCGUCGACGCCGACUGAGGACCGCGCCUCGGCUAGGAUGCUGGCUUAAUGGCCUUCAGCGACCCGUCUUGAAACACGGA